UUUUUUUUUUUUUUUUUUUUUUUGGUUUUCUGAGACAGGGUUUCUCUAUAUAGCCCUGGCUGUCCUGGAACUCACUCUGUAGACUAGGCUGGACUCGAACUCAGAAAUCUGCCUGCCUCUGCCUCCUGAGUGCUAGGAUUAAAGUUGUGCGCCACCACGCCCGGUUGUUUCGUUGUUCUUGAGCAAUAUUGACUAGCUAGGUCAGACUACAUUUAUUCAAAAGUUUUCUGGCACCUGAGCUGCUCAGAUAACACAGCUGACCAGCUGUCUCUAUCUUGUUCCCUACUUCAGUAUUGUUCAUUGGUAUCUGUUUUUUACCCACAGGAUUCUGUUCUUGUUGGGAUGGAAUGAAGUGUCUUCCAGCUCUCUGCUUCUACUGCAGAGGGCAGGUACUUUGGCAGUAUUUGCCUUAGGAUCACAUUAGUGACAGACUCAAGGAUGAAGUUGUUGCUGUCAUUAUGACCCUGCACUGCUCUUCUGGUCUGUGAGUAAGGAGUGAGCAGAGCUUUCCUUACCUCCUGGACAGGUGGCUUUUUAACAUCAUUGUGAGAUGUAACCUCCCAUCUGGGGUAAGGAUAAGAAUAAGGUAGAGGAGUUUCAGGAGAGACGUGCCUUUGGUUAAGAAGACAUGACAAAUAAUCAUGAAGACCAGAGUCCGGCACCCAGAAAAGUCAGGCAUCCCCCAAAUUCCUGUCACUUCAGUUCCAAGGAAUCUGAUGUCCUCUUUGGCCUCCACAUACACAUAGGCAGGCAGGCACAAGAACACACACACACAUACACACACGUCUUUUUUUAAGGCAGAGGAAAAGGAAGUUUUAAUUUUCAGGUAGCUAAUAGAUUAAAUGAAACAGAAGUUGGGAAGGAGUAUCGAAGAUUAAGUGUUUGUUUUUAAAGCACCAUAUAAAGCCAGGCAUGGUGGCUCCUGCCUGCAAUUACAGCAUUUACAAGGCUGAGGAAGGGUUUUUCCAGUCCAGCCAAGGCUAUAUUAUACAUAAGAUCUUUUCUUAUAUGAAAAAGUACCAGAUAGCUAGCAUAUUUGUAUCUUUUGUUAAUAUAUAUAUAUGAUUACUUAUAUAGCUAAUCACUUUGACGUGUUCUUAAAAUUAGAGGGCAUGAGAUGUAUAGUAAUGGAGGUUCUCUCUGUAGGGAUUAUCCUCAAAUACACAGGAGGCUUGUUGCAUGCAUAAAAUGUUCAGUGGCUGUAAGACAAGGAGUUGACAAUUUACCAACAUUUCAGUCAGUAGCUUAGCUGAUGCCACAGAUACCAGUGACUCUGGAGAACGUCAAAUAGAACUGCUUGCUUAUCCAUGGUCUGUUAGUGCCUAGAAACCCCCUCCAAGGAUUUACAUGUAGACUUUUCCUGUUAGAGCAGACCAAGUAGCUUUAUUUCUAUUUGCACCUUUUGAUGGAAAGUGCCUUGAAAUAAACGAGACAAGAAUAUUCUGGUACUCUUCUCCAACGUCAUACGUAGAGCUGUGCAAGGAAAAACCAAGUUUGAAAUUUUCUAAAGCGUGGUAAUCUUUGCACACUAAAGAUGAGAAUUUGUUUUGUCUCUUGAAUUAUGAUUUGGGUUUGGCAUUUGAGACCCCCUCCUCGCCCCCAUAGUGUAUGUAGUUGAAGACUUUGUAUAGUGACUUUGAGGUGGGGCCUGUAGAACUGAGGUGGGCAGUAUGUCAUCUUUAUUUUCUUUUGUGCUAUUAGUUUUGAAGAGGAGAAACCAGGAGAAUCCUUCCAGAGGGAUUCUUAGAUGUUCCAUGAUAAUGACACUGAUGUGAUCAAGAGAAAGAAGUGGGAUUCCCUUCCAGGUUGUUGCUCUCCAGUCUCAGAACAAUCAAAAGACCAAAUUCCAAAUGUCAGGUUAACAGAACAGUGUGUCUACACCCCUGCAUUUCAACAUGCUGAAUUGUGUGCAGGGGACACCAUGCAGGGGUAUAGACUGUUCACCAGCCUUUGCUUACUGCUGCUUUGUUGACAUGUCUCGUUCUGACACCAUGCAUAUUUUUUGUUUCACAAACAUUGCUUUUUUCAGAUUCUUAGUAAGCCGCCUUGCCAGCAGGAGAUGCAGAGUCUGUAUAAACCUCUAGCUCGCUGGAGCACUCAUGUGUAUAUGUAAUUGUAAUUCUUCAUUGGGGGUAUUUGUAUCCCUGCCACAUAUCAUCUGAGUACAGGUCGGGUAGCUUCUGGGUGCCUGCUGUGAAUUUGUUAGUAAAAGUUCUUAUGUUUUUCCC
rnacentral:lncRNA from 1 species